rnacentral:tRNA from 1 species
CGGAGUGUAGCGCAGCCCGGUAGCGCAUCGUAUGGAUGAUCCCAGCGAAGGUCGGUGGUUCGAACCCACUCACUCCGA